GACAAGUGCUCCUCCAAUUGUGA
rnacentral:siRNA from 1 species